AACCCCCCAUUCACUCGUGCGCUGUACUCAGUCAGUACGUGGACACAGUGAGUUCUUUUUCUUUUUGUGAUAGUUUCUAGGGAAUGACCCAGUUUUGUUGUUCAGGUUUCAGCCCUUUGCCUGAGAGUUUUUGGAUACUUCUGCUUUAUUGGAUGACUUUUCCAUGUACUGAGCUGUCGAGUGUCGAAGCGGCCUGUGAAUUCACACUCACUUGAGUCCUGUUCUUGAGUCCUUUAUCUGAGCUUGGCUUCAGCAGCCCUAAUAGACAAACCAGGCAGAGUGUGUGUUUCAGUGUUGCCAACUCAGCGACUUCACUGUCACUACAUUUUAUGAGGACUGUGUGGCGGCUUCUUCUCCAGACUCCAACAACAAAAUGAUGCAGUAGCCAAAAGACGGGUGUUUACAGUGAUUUAUUGUGCUCAAUCCCAGUGGUGAAAAAUACAGAUCAUCGACUCAGCUCUGUUUGUCAUGCUCAGCCAGCUCCAUAUCCACACUACUCCCUGGAUUCUCCCCUGGACUCCUUUGUUUGUAUUCUGGUAACAAUCACUCUGGAUCUCCUUCCAGCACCCUGGACUAUUCACUAUGAUUUCCCACUCCCUGGUUUAAUGGAAUGCCCAUUGUUCAUUAGGUUUUCCAACAUUUAUUCCUUUAUACACUGUCAUUAUCUCAUGUGCUUUACUGCUGCUUCUUUGCCUCAACAAUUGUGUUCUUCAUCUUUAAAAAUGAGCACUCUAUUGCUAGUUUUUUACAAUAGAGUUCUCAUUUUCUUUGAAUAGGGUUACGUCCUUGGAAUGACUCCUUGCCCCAGGUGAAGGAGUUCAAGUAUCUUGGGGUCUCGGGACGAGGGAGCGUGUGAUGGGCCGGAGAAUCGGAGUGGCUGGUGCGGUAUUGCAUUCGCUUUACCGCACGGUUGUGACGAAAAGGGAGCUGAGCCGGAAGGCAAAGCUCUCGAUCUACCGGUCAAUCUUCGUUCCUACCCUCGCCUAUGGUCAUGAAGGUUGGGUCCUGACCGAAAGGAUGAGAUCGCCGGUACAAGCGGCCGAAAUGGGAUUCCUCAGGAGAGUGGCAGGCU